CCUACGGGUGGCUGCAGUAAGGAAUAUUGGUCAAUGGACGAAAGUCUGAACCAGCCAUGCCGCGUGAAGGAUGACGGCCCUCUGGGUUGUAAACUUCUUUUAUCUGGGACGAAAAAAGAUCAUUCCUGAUCACUUGACGGUACCAGAGGAAUAAGCACCGGCUAACUCCGUGCCAGCAGCCGCGGUAAUACGGAGGGUGCAAGCGUUAUCCGGAUUUACUGGGUUUAAAGGGUGCGUAGGUGGGUCUGUAAGUCAGUGGUGAAAUCUUCGAGCUU
rnacentral:rRNA from 1 species